rnacentral:rRNA from 1 species
UACGAAGGGGGCUAGCGUUGCUCGGAAUCACUGGGCGUAAAGGGUGCGUAGGCGGGUCUUUAAGUCAGGGGUGAAAUCCUGGAGCUCAACUCCAGAACUGCCUUUGAUACUGAGGAUCUUAAGUACGGGAGAGGUGAGUGGAACUGCGAGUGUAGAGGUGAAAUUCGUAGAUAUUCGCAAGAACACCAGUGGCGAAGGCGGCUCACUGGCCCGUUACUGACGCUGAGGCACGAAAGCGUGGGGAGCAAACAGG